rnacentral:rRNA from 1 species
AUUGAACGCUGGCGGCAGGCCUAACACAUGCAAGUCGAGCGAGCGUCGGACGGGUGAGUAAUGUAUGGGGAUCUGCCCGAUAGAGGGGGAUAACCAUCGGAAACGGUAGCUCAUACCCCACACUACCGGAUGAUCCCACAUGGGAUUAGCUAGUGUGUGUGGUAAAGGCUCACCAAGGCGACGAUCCCUAGCUGGUCUGAGAGGAUGACCAGCCACACUGGAACUGAGACACGGUCCAGACUCCUACGGGAGGCAGCAGUGGGGAAUAUUGCACAAUGGGCGCAAGCCUGAUGCAGCCAUGCCGCGUGUAUGAAGAAGGCCUUCGGGUUGUAAAGUACUUGCAGCGGGGAGGCGUUACCCGCAGAAGAAGCACCGGCUAACUCCGUGCCAGCAGCCGCGGUAAUAC